UACGUAGGGUGCAGGCGUUAAUCGGAAUUACUGGGCGUAAAGCGUGCGCAGGCGGUUUCUUAAGUCAGAUGUGAAAGCCCCGGGCUUAACCUGGGAACUGCGUUUGAAACUGGGAGACUUGAGUGUGGCAGAGGGGGGUGGAAUUCCACGUGUAGCAGUGAAAUGCGUAGAGAUGUGGAGGAACACCGAUGGCGAAGGCAGCCCCCUGGGCUGAGAUUGACGCUCAGGCACGAAAGCGUGGGGAGCAAACAGG
rnacentral:rRNA from 1 species